CGGUGAAUAACGCAGCUUGGUAGCGCAUCCAUUUCUUGGUAAAAAAAGCGGACCAGAGGGUCGGGGGUUCGAAUCCCUCUUCACCGACCA
rnacentral:tRNA from 1 species